rnacentral:rRNA from 1 species
AUACGGAGGGUGCAAGCGAUAUUCGGAAUCACUGGGCGUAAAGGACGCGUAGGCGGGUUGGCAAGUCAGAUGUGAAAUCCUACAGCUUAACUGUAGAACUGCAUUUGAAACUGCUAACCUAGAGUAUGGGAGGGGGAGAUGGAAUUAGUGGUGUAGGGGUAAAAUCCGUAGAUAUCACUAGGAAUACCGAAAGCGAAGGCGAUCUCCUGGAACAUAACUGACGCUAAGGCGUGAAAGCGUGGGGAGCAAACAGGAUUAGAAACCCUAGUAGUCC